ensembl:lncRNA
CCUGCGAUCGCGCUCUGGGGUCUCAAGAAACCCCCCCACCCUGGAACCAGUGCAGGCCUCAUGUUAUAUUCAGGGAACACAGCAACCUCUUCUGGCCAAAAGUGAACGCAGCAGAGAGUCUGUGCUGAAGCCAGAAUAUAACAAGCUCUGUGUUCCCAUUUCUUUCUCUGUGUCAGGCACUGAGAGCUACAAGGAUACCAGAUGCCGUCCCAGCCUAUUUGUCUUAUCCGUUUUCACAGACAAACUAAUUGCUAUACAAAAGGUGCUGGCGUGUCCUGUCGAGGACCCUUGUAAAUGCUUUACAUCCACCACUCCAUUCUGCCUGCCAGUAAACUGGCUAAUUAUAAAAGGAUCACAAAAGAGUGUGAUUAGGGAUACAGAAGAGGGGGAGGAGGUGCGGUCCCACACCAGUGUAAAUGGAGCACCUGAAACUGUUAGCUUAACAUUAAUGAAAACUCAUUUUUGAAGCCGCCCAAAUAGAAACUUAAGAGGAG